CUCUCUGAGAGUUGUAGAAUAACCCAAGAAGCGGCAGACGAGGCCGCGCAUGCGUAGGGGGCGUCGCGUUGCCCCGGCGGCGGGAGCGCUGUGGCAGCCAUGGCCGGUGCCGGGCGGCUCCUGCUGCGGCCGCUCGUCCCGUGGCGCCUCCACAGCCCGGGGAGGGCAUAUAGCUCCGGUGGGGAGCGUCUGGAAGGGGCAGGCGGGAGCUGGGGCUGGUUCAGGGGUUGUUGGCCUUUCCCCGCCUCACGGACUGUCUGGUCCUGAGGUGGCGGCGAUCGCUCCGUGUCCGGGUGGGGAACAAGGGGCCGCAACGGCAGCGCCGGUUUUGUCCCCACUCGGUGCCCUAUACAUUAGGGCAAAGUCUAGGGAGAAAGCUUUUCCUUGUCUGCCUUCACCUGCUGCUUGGGUCUUAUGCCUGAGGAAGAAAACAGGGGUUCGGGUGGAGCUUUUACAAUAAAACGGAUAAUGGCUUGAGAACACAUGAGCCAAGACAGCAGGAAGAAACUCGCUUUUCUUUCACAUUACAAGGUUAAAGGAGAUGCUGAAGCGUCAUUACGUGGUGCUUACAUAAGCAUGAAACUUAUCACUACUCACAUCUCUGAUUAGAUUAUUCUCUUCCCAAGAAACAUCGUCAGGACUGAAAGGUGGAGGGGGACGUUGUCCUGGCUUGAGGAGCAGAAAGAGCCUGGAUCCGGACACACAGCAGGAGGAAUCCUGCCCCAUUAUUCCCUGUUCUGGUGGGCAAGGACAAGCUGCCUGCCGAAGUCCCCAGAACCUGGUUAUCUCCCUGCAGAGCAAGCCAAGUGUUUACCAACUGCAGCACCAGCUUUCUGUAAACAAUCGUAAGGGAUUGCCCUGGUUUAACUUCUGAGAACUUCACUAGGAUUGAUCAAUCAAACCCUGCAAGCUUCUGAGUGACACGGGACUUAUUUUCCAUAGCUGAGGAAAGCACAGAGGCAGUGAUUUAGUACGUUCAGUAGGAAGUUUGUAACAAAGCAGGUGGCCCCUAUUCUUCGAGCAGGUUAACCCAGAAACCAGAAUGAAACGCUCCCAAACUCUGGUGUUUGACCAGACCUGAACACCGUUUGGACUGAGAUGUUUUUGUGCUUCAGCCACCGCACCAGCUGCUUCAAAAUCCUCAAGCCUGGGCUCUCGCUGGAGUCCCCGUGUUCAGAGGUACCUUAUAUUGCCAAGACAAUAUUCACACUAUGUCUAGCUAAUUUUAAAUUAUUGACAUUAUCACCGGUGAAUCUGUGAAGGAAAGCCUUAGUACUUUUCAGUGAAGGCCAAAAAUCCAAAUUAAAGCAAAUGCAUUUAUUGAUUUUAAUUAACUGAGCCCAAAGUGAUAUUAACUCAAAGCAAGAAUUGCUCAAGUGCCGUCACUGGCCUUGAAGUUUCCCAAGGCUGCCUUGUGUUUGUCCUUCUGCAGUAAUCCAAAGAUCCCUGUCCCCUGGAAUGUCAACACCAACACUAGAGUCAAAAUGAAGAGUAGAAUGACACAAAUUGCUUCUUCCCAGCCCGUCAUUCUCUCCUGAGGAGCUGCUGCUUGCAGGUUACACAGUGUCUGCGGAGAUGUGCAGCUCAGCAGAGUGUGGUCUUUGGUCUUGCCAACCUCGCACAUCCUUGGCUUUCUUCACAUGGUUCUUGUAAGCGUUUUGUCACCUGAGGAUGUGGUGGAUGGAGGUGAGGGGGGUGGGAGCGAUGAAGCAACAUAGACUAUAACAACUAGCUAUUUAACUUAAAUAAUUACGUUUGGAGCUCUGCUUGGAGAGGAGGGACAGCCAGGCUAUGGUGUGGAGCUGCUCGCAAUUCUGUGCUCGCUACUUGAUUUUUCAAUUGCUUUUGCUCUCCCUCGUACGGAAUCCAUUUUGUUAUUUUGACUUCUCUCCAGCUAAAGUGUUUGAUGUAGUACCUCGGAUGUUACUGAGUCAUUGAUAAGUACUAACAAACCAUCUGCUUAUCUCAAUUUGAGCCAGAGGAUAGGCUGCAAAGCACGGCAGGAUGGGUUUUUUUUUAUUAUUAUUCUUUUUUUCUCCUUUUAAUAUGUCAGAGAAAAAUGCAGCAGAGGGCACUGUGUUGUUAGGUUUCAGGGGAACAUUUACUGAAUUGCAGUGGGUGGCUGGGAGUAGCCUCCUUCUGAGCGCCUGUACAACUAUAUAACAGAAUAUUAACAGCACUUCCUCUGAACAUGAGGGUUCUAGGGUUUAGGAAGCCGUCUUUUUUAUGCUGUUUUAAUUUUUAGAGUACCUGGGAAGUGCAAGCAUCAGGAUCUUUUUGUUAUGUACAGGAUCUGAACGACAGCCUCAUUAAAGGAGCAGCGCAGAACACAGAUGACAUCGAGUAGGCAAGCUACCUAUAAUAAUGCCAUGUUUUGUCAUUUAUAAUAGAUAGUUCUUCCAAACCUUUGGGAUUCCAACAGCACUUGGCAAAUUAAAUAUUUGAACGUUGUUAAAGGGAAGCUUGUUCAAGAAGAUUGUGCAGCUGUGACCUGGGACGUGGAUGCCGUUGUGGGAAGCGGGGGAGCGCUGAAAUGUCAUUUGAGAACAGUCCCCAUUCACACAAAGCACGUCGUGGGACAUUUUUAAGUGUAUCUUCAAUAAAUAUGGCCUUGUUUAAGACAUGAUUAGAGAGAGCGGGACACAGAAAAUAACAAGCAGUGUUUUGGCAGCACAGAGAGCUGUGUGUGGCUCAUCACACCCCACGCUGCGCACGGCCCCCGUUACCUUCAACCGAUGGCUGAAGGGGGAUCUGUUGCAUCUGGAAAUGGAGCCCAUGGUUUUAAGAGGCUCUGUUUGCUCAGACUGGAGGCUGGCAGUGCAAACCAUCUUCCCACGCCAGCUUUUGCUGUUAAGAUAAUGUUAAGAUGAUUAAUUCUAGAUGCUUCAGGUCGGUGGUGAAGGUUUCUCUGGAGGACAGGGACUCUGCUGAGAUAAAUACUGACCUGCCCUGAGCUUCCUCUGGAGCUGGGUUUGGUCUCAUCAACUACACCCACACAGAGUGAAGCAUAAACCCACAAAAGAGGCUCACGAGGUUGACUAGGUUGUUUUUGUGCUUGAAGUUAAGUAGGUGCUUAGAUAUGUGAUAAUAGGUUAUGUUCUAUUUUCUUUCAUUCACAAAGCGGGAUUACUGGAAGAGGGAAAUACACCAAGGAGGAUGAUGGACAUUGUCCUGUCGAGGAGCUGCCAACACAGCAGGACGUGUUCAGGCUGAGAGGCAGGUAGAGCCCUGGAGAAUGCAGCUUGAUCUCACGGGAGCAAGGAGGCCAGUCUGCCCUAUUCUGGGUCAAAAUCAGGAUGUCCCAUUUCAAUAUAAGUUCCUGACUUUUCCUCUGGGUUAUUAAGGGAAAUGGGAAGCAGAGAAGCAGCUAUAAAAGUGAACAGCAUUAAAAUCUCCACAAAUUAGAAGAGGAAUAAAAGGAACAAGUGGAAAGCCUUCUCCUCUCCAUGUCACAUAAAUGAUGUUCUUAUCCUAGUAACGGUGACAGGAGGUGGUCAGAUGGCAUUAUUUAGCUGAAUGGCCCGUGUCUCCAUGUGUGCUCAGAUAAAGUUCAAAAUGACCUUUAAAAAAAUCCAUUUUUAAAGAUUCUUUUUACUUCAGAAAGGUCCGACUUCAGCAGCUUAAAUUUAAUUUUGUUCUUGAGGGAACUGGCUGUGAGGAGGGAAGGCAGUGCUAGGGAUGCUCUCAGUAAACUAAUAGCAGGUAAAAUGUCAUUUAAAAAAAAAGUGAGUGGAAAGCAUGUGUCAUUGCAAAGAGGAAAUUAAUGAAUUCUUUCCCCUUAAUUCCUGUUCUCAGGUUUGAUUUCUGAUGUCUUUUCUUCCAAUGGCCAGUGCCUCUGCUUAUGUUAACACAAACGUAUUAGCUGGCUCAUUGGUCAGAGUGAACGCAGGGUCACAGAAGAGGGAUGCCGGAGCGGUCAGCUGCACACAGGCAGUCAUGGGAACACAAACGUCUCCAGCUCUAGAAACACAGCUCACAGAACAAUCCCCACUGCUCCUCAGUGAGCACAGGCUGUGUGUUUUUUCCCUAUAAAUCUCCAGCAAUAGAAGGAUAAAUUGACUGCAAGCAUUUCACAACCAUACCCCAUAGGAACAACGCUGACAUAUAAGCACCAGCAGAUGCUGUGCAAGGCCACGGACUUCCUUGCUUCCUAAAAAGCACCAGUCGGUCUCCUUAGUUCCCAGACUAAGGAAAUUGGUCUUUAGGUUUAGUAGUGACUCAAGGCCAAGGAGAGAUUACAGGGAAAACCUUGUUUGGAUGAGACAUUCUGGCACAGGAGUGGAGCCACCUGUCUGACUGUGAGUUGGUCUUUGCUUUCCUGGAAAUGUGACUUUGAGCUCCUUUCAGUGGUUGCUGCUCUUAUGUAGAACACAGAUAAUAGUCAUACCAGUUUGCCCCAGUAAGAAUUAUAAAAUGCAUCACUGUGGCAACUGGUAAGCAACCAAAGGAAUGAGCAAAUGUCUGUUGCAAUUAACAGAAAAAAAAGGCCAUCUAAGUUAUUGGGGUGAGCAACUGCUCUGAUUGGCAAAAAAACCCCUUAAUUUGUCAUUACUGACUACAGAAAAACAUCUUCUCUUCAUCUCAUGCUGCUUCUUGCCGCAGAGGGUUCCUGGCUGGAUGCUGGGACAGCUCAGCACCUUCAUUCUCUGAAUUUGAGAUUUCUCAUAAAACAUAUCCACUGCAUGGUAUCCCACCAAGCCUCCUUUCCCCACCACACAUGGACCCCCUGCUCUGAGCACUUCUAAUGUCAACCAAAGACCAGUUCCCGAGCCUCAGAGGAGACUUUUAUUUUCUGUCACUUGAAGCAUCCAGCUGAGGCUGGAAUCCGCUAUGCUGGCAAUGUUGGUCUGGCUUGUCCUUUGGUUAAGCUGCUGACAAGCUAAUUCACACUGCUUUGUUUUCCCUGGAGAUCCUCUCCUAGGCUUGUUGGGAAGCAUAAAAGAGACUGGGCUGGGGACGGACAGCCAAGACUAGCCAUGUGUGAGGACAGAAGGGGCAGGCCAAUUUGGGAGGGUACUGCAGGUAUGGCUGGGUCUGCUGCUGCCCGGGGAUGGAGGGAUAAGCAGCUCACCAGAGACUGAUGGCUACAUGGUGCUUUGGAUGAGGUUUUGCACAUAACCCCUUCUCUGGCUGGAUCUCACUGCAGGGUGAUGUCUGAUGGCUUGGCCGUGUUGGCAAGGUAGCAGCCUGGCCACCUUCUCUCAGCCCUGGUGUGUCUCAGAGAUAAUGUCAACAGGAGAUCCAAUUAGCAGCUUGACUGGUUAACCAGAAACGGCAACUGGGGGCUGAAGCUGGUGUGCCUGCUGCGGAUAAAAUAGAAAACUCUACCUGCAAAUCCAUCCAAAGACCGCUAUUGGAAAUUACUCAGUCUUGCUGCUUUAUUGCUAAGGAAUAGCCUGUCUGCUUCUGGGACUCUGAUGCAAUGACUCACUCACAGGAGUCCUGAAACUCUUUGUUUUCUCUCUUCCUGCCACCGGAGUAGAUCUCCCUCUAACAGCAGUUUGUGUUGGAGUUAAUUCUCUGCUGAGCCAUUAUUAUGGCAAACAAGGAAUUCAAAAAUAAUUCCAUCGGCCUCCCUCUGCAGGAAGAACUUGGAGCUUGACGUCCUGCCUUCCUGGGAACAUCUGCAAGCUCAACUUCUUUGUAUUAUGUAGCUGAGAGUCUGGGCUGUCUGAAUGACCCCAGGCAGAUAGUCAGAGAUGACUUUAAAGGCUGGAUAAUGUAUUUCACAACUGUGUAAUCCUGCAGUAGCCUGGGGGUUUAGAGUUGUUUUGUACUGGUUUUGAUGUAGGGCUUAUUUUAGGUUUUAUGAAGAGAUGCUGCUUUCUUAACUAACACCGCAGUAGCUUAUGAGCUGUUCUACAGAGGACUCGUUUGCUGUAGGCUCUCUGCAUACAAACCAGUACUUUUGGGGUGAUUAUGUUCAGACAUGCAUAUGGGCAGAGACAGACUGGCCCAUGGAUGUAAAUGCACCCCUGUACAUCUGUGCAGUUCCCAUACUGAAACCGCCACAUGAACAAAGAUCUUUAUCUUCUAAUGUCAGAUAUAUGUAUUUUUGCAAACACACGCUCACACAUACAGAGAACUGCCCAUCCUCAGACACAUACACAGGGGCAUGUGUGUCUAUACAGAGAUGUGCAGGAACAGUCAUAAAUGAACUUGAAUUAAGAGGCAUCAUUUUAUAAUAUUCAUGCAAUGGCUGUGCACGUAUUAUUGCCUGCAUCUAGUCAGACCGCUCUCAAGUGACAGAUUCACUUUAGCCUCAGAAUACAUGAAGGAGUGAUGAAAUAUAGAGAAAAAAUUGCAGCCAUAACAUAAGAGAACAUUUUAGGAGUCCAUUUUGAGCUAUUUUCCUCUCCCUUUCCCCCAAAACCUUCUAGUCAUAAAGGUGCUUCUCCUGUUUUUUCCCUGCAACAUCUCUCCUUAUAAACUUUAAUAAGUAAUCAGGUGUGAUCAAUGCCGGCUACUACUCUCCUGCUCCUCUGCUCGCUGUUCUAGUGCAGAGCGAUUCUGCAAAAACAACCUCACGGGGAUCCUGCAUUGAUUUCUUCUCAGCUGAUCUGAAACUUCAGCCGUUUUCCUUCCUGCACUGUCCCUGGUAGAGCCUAUUCUGGAAAGCGAAGAAUGCUGUGAAGGCAACUGCUGGUGUGGGGUCUGGAUCUGGAGCCUGAGACACACGUACAAGUUCAGGCAGGGGACAGAGAGGGGGACUUAAAUGUUCUUUUUUUGCACCUAUUUGCAAGACAUGAAUAAAAAGGCACCAUUUUUCCUGCGAUCAGAGCUUGCAGGGGAAGUGGUACAAAACAAGGAGUUGGGAAGGUAAAGCUCUCUUCACUCAUCCUCAAUAAGCACAGGAGCUUCACCAGUGGAAUAUGAGAGCACAAAGGUUGCUAAACGAGGUGUCAUCAAAUAACUCCGUAACCCAGGUCUCUGGUGUUGGUGACUGGAAAGAGAGAAUAAGGAAGAAAUCUGAUGGAAAAAUGAAAUCCAGAGCCUGCAGACCUAUGCUCAUCGUGCCAGCAUUGACCUUCUCAUCUUUCUAGCUGAGACAGAUGAAAGAAAGGAGGGUUUGGAUGCCAUGAAAAAGCACCAGAACUCUGGCAACUCUGUAAUAAGUGAUGGUCAAAAUUUUUAAUGUUGAACAAAUCGAGUAGGAUUCAAUUGUAUUAUGCAUAUUAUUGUAAGCAGUAACUGUGCUUGUGCGAGUUUGAUUAUGUUUUGUAGAACCUUGUAGUAGUAGUUAAAGACAAUGCCAUAAAUAACAGGACUACCAGGUGGUGCCAUAAAUAACAGGACUACCGGAUGGUGUCAUAGAUAACAGGACUCCCGGAUGGUGCCACAGAUAAUAGGACUCCCAGAUGGUGUUACAGAUAACAAAGCGCUCGGAUGUUGCAACAGAUAACAAAAGUUCCAGAGGCGGAAAUUCCCAGCACGUAAAGGAACGCAUAACGUAUAUAAGCACAUACGAAAGGUUGAUUUGGUGUGCCUGUUGGUGGAACUGAGCUUCCCCCGGUCACCCAGCGCUGUUUUGCCUAAUUACCGCUUGCUAAAUAAAAUCGAUUGAUUGACGCAG